GUACGGUACACGACGCAACGACUCGUGUUCACUUUUUACUCGCAAUCGCCAGUUUCCACGGUACGCCUGUUACGCGCGGUACGGCUUUUCGUACGGUUUUAUCAUCGGCGUUGACUACUGGACAGCGCUACACCGAAUCAAAACAAAACCUGACAAUAAUCACAUCCGGCCGAAUCCGACCGUCCACGAACGGUACCCCAGGCUUUCCCGAUCAAAGAGAAGGAGUGAAAUCCCCUCCGGCUUCUGGAAUUCGUUCACCCGGCCCUCGACCGACGUCCGAAAAUUUGGCGGAAGAAAUUGAGUUUCCCUUCCAUCGCCCUUCGUGCACCCCCGAUUCAGCGUCGGUCGAGAUUCCUGGCGCACCUGGCUGCGGGUACCUUCCCGUGUUCGAACUUUG
rnacentral:misc_RNA from 1 species